CUUUUACAAUGAAGAGUUUGAUCCUGGCUCAGGAUGAACGCUAGCUACAGGCUUAACACAUGCAAGUCGAGGGGCAGCAUUUCAGUUUGCUUGCAAACUGGAGAUGGCGACCGGCGCACGGGUGAGUAACACGUAUCCAACCUGCCGAUAACUCGGGGAUAGCCUUUCGAAAGAAAGAUUAAUACCCGAUGGCAUAAUUAGACCGCAUGGUCUUAUUAUUAAAGAAUUUCGGUUAUCGAUGGGGAUGCGUUCCAUUAGGCAGUUGGUGAGGUAACGGCUCACCAAACCUUCGAUGGAUAGGGGUUCUGAGAGGAAGGUCCCCCACAUUGGAACUGAGACACGGUCCAAACUCCUACGGGAGGCAGCAGUGAGGAAUAUUGGUCAAUGGACGAGCGUCUGAACCAGCCAAGUAGCGUGAAGGAUGACUGCCCUAUGGGUUGUAAACUUCUUUUAUAUGGGAAUAAAGUUUUCCACGUGUGGAAUUUUGUAUGUACCAUAUGAAUAAGGAUCGGCUAACUCCGUGCCAGCAGCCGCGGUAAUACGGAGGAUCCGAGCGUUAUCCGGAUUUAUUGGGUUUAAAGGGAGCGUAGGUGGACAGUUAAGUCAGUUGUGAAAGUUUGCGGCUCAACCGUAAAAUUGCAGUUGAUACUGGCUGUCUUGAGUACAGUAGAGGUGGGCGGAAUUCGUGGUGUAGCGGUGAAAUGCUUAGAUAUCACGAAGAACUCCGAUUGCGAAGGCAGCUCACUGGACUGCAACUGACACUGAUGCUCGAAAGUGUGGGUAUCAAACAGGAUUAGAUACCCUGGUAGUCCACACAGUAAACGAUGAAUACUCGCUGUUUGCGAUAUACAGUAAGCGGCCAAGCGAAAGCAUUAAGUAUUCCACCUGGGGAGUACGCCGGCAACGGUGAAACUCAAAGGAAUUGACGGGGGCCCGCACAAGCGGAGGAACAUGUGGUUUAAUUCGAUGAUACGCGAGGAACCUUACCCGGGCUUAAAUUGCAUUUGAAUAAUCUGGAAACAGGUUAGCCGCAAGGCAAAUGUGAAGGUGCUGCAUGGUUGUCGUCAGCUCGUGCCGUGAGGUGUCGGCUUAAGUGCCAUAACGAGCGCAACCCUUAUCUUUAGUUACUAACAGGUCAUGCUGAGGACUCUAGAGAGACUGCCGUCGUAAGAUGUGAGGAAGGUGGGGAUGACGUCAAAUCAGCACGGCCCUUACGUCCGGGGCUACACACGUGUUACAAUGGGGGGUACAGAAGGCAGCUACCUGGUGACAGGAUGCUAAUCCCAAAAGCCUCUCUCAGUUCGGAUCGAAGUCUGCAACCCGACUUCGUGAAGCUGGAUUCGCUAGUAAUCGCGCAUCAGCCAUGGCGCGGUGAAUACGUUCCCGGGCCUUGUACACACCGCCCGUCAAGCCAUGAAAGCCGGGGGUACCUGAAGUACGUAACCGCAAGGAGCGUCCUAGGGUAAAACUGGUAAUUGGGGCUAAGUCGUAACAAGGUAGCCGUACCGGAAGGUGCGGCUGGAACACCUCCUUU
rnacentral:rRNA from 1 species